rnacentral:rRNA from 1 species
CAGUAGCCACGGUAAUACGGAGGGUGCAAGCGUUAUCCGGAUUUAUUGGGUUUAAAGGGUCCGUAGGCGGAUCUGUAAGUCAGUGGUGAAAUCUCACAGCUUAACUGUGAAACUGCCAUUGAUACUGCAGGUCUUGAGUAAAUUUGAAGUGGCUGGAAUAAGUAGUGUAGCGGUGAAAUGCAUAGAUAUUACUUAGAACACCAAUUGCGAAGGCAGGUCACUAAGAUUUAACUGACGCUGAUGGACGAAAGCGUGGGGAGCGAACAGGAUUAGAUACCCCUGUAGCCCCUGUCUCUUAUAC